rnacentral:rRNA from 1 species
UACGGAGGGGGCUAGCGUUGUUCGGAAUUACUGGGCGUAAAGCGCGCGUAGGCGGGCUGUUAAGUCGGGGGUGAAAUCCCGGGGCUCAACCCCGCAACUGCCUUCGAUACUGGCAGCCUAGAGGAAGGCAGAGGCUAGUGGCAUGGCGAGUGUAGAGGUGAAAUUCGUAGAUAUUCGCCGGAACACCAGUGGCGAAGGCGACUGGCUGGGCCUUUUCUGACGCUGAGGUGCGAAAGCGUGUGGAGCAAACAGG